AACGAACGCUGGCGGCAGGCUUAACACAUGCAAGUCGAGCGCCCCGCAAGGGGAGCGGCAGACGGGUGAGUAACGCGUGGGAAUCUACCGAGCCCUGCGGAAUAGCUCCGGGAAACUGGAAUUAAUACCGCAUACGCCCUACGGGGGAAAGAUUUAUCGGGGUUUGAUGAGCCCGCUUUGGAUUAGCCAGUUGGUGGGGUAAUGGCCUACCCAGGCGACGAGCCAUAGCUGGUUUGAGAGUAUGAUUAGCCACAUUGGAACUGAGACACGGCCCGAACUCCUGCGGGAGGCAGCGGUGGGGAAUAUUGGACAAUGGGGGCAACCCUGAUCCAGCCAUGACGCGUGAGUGAUGAAGGCCUUAGGGUUGUAAAGCUCUUUCACCGGUGAAGAUAAUGACGGUAACCGGAGAAGAAGCCCCGGCUAACUUCGUGCCAGCCGCCGCCGUAAGAC
rnacentral:rRNA from 1 species